GUGGGGAAUAUUGCGCAAUGGGGGAAACCCUGACGCAGCAACGCCGCGUGAGUGAUGAAGGCUUUCGAGUCGUAAAACUCUGUCUUUGGGGACGAAUAAUGACGGUACCCAAGGAGGAAGCCCCGGCUAACUACGUGCCAGCAGCCGCGGUAAUACGUAGGGGGCAAGCGUUGUCCGGAAUCACUGGGCGUAAAGGGCGCGUAGGCGGUUUGUUAAGUCAGGUGUGAAAGUUUUCAGCUUAACUGGAAAAGUGCACUUGAAACUAACUUACUUGAGUACUGGAGAGGUAAGCGGAAUUCCUAGUGUAGCGGUGAAAUGCGUAGAUAUUAGGAAGAACACCGGUGGCGAAGGCGGCUUACUGGACAGAGACUGACGCUGAGGCGCGAAAGCGUGGGGAGCGAACAGGAUUAGAUACCCUGGUAGUCC
rnacentral:rRNA from 1 species